UACGUAGGUGGCAAGCGUUGUCCGGAUUUACUGGGCGUAAAGAGCGCGCAGGCGGUCUUUUAAGUCGAAUGUGAAAGCCCCCGGCUCAACUGGGGAGGGUCAUUCGAUACUGAUCGACUUGAAGGCAGGAGAGGGUAGUGGAAUUCCCGGUGUAGUGGUGAAAUGCGUAGAUAUUUGGAGGAAUACCGAUGGCGAAGGCAGCUUUCUGGCUCGUUACUGACACUGAGAUUCGAAAGCGUGGGUAGCAAACAGG
rnacentral:rRNA from 1 species